rnacentral:lncRNA from 1 species
CUUGGCAUUGAUAAAAAGUUCAUAUGAUGCUAACUUGACGGUGGACAAAGUUCUAAAAUCUUUAAAAGUACGACUUCUGCAUUAAAAGUUAAAAGUUCGUCAGACAGGCUGGCACUGCCGGUAAAAAUUGUUCUAAGUGAAUAUUAAAGUAAUCCCAAAGUUCAUUUAUUUGUUUCACUUGAUGAUAGGAUCACAAUAGCUAUGCUUGCCUAAGUUUAAAGGGGUACCAAACUCAUAUUUGUUUUUGAAAUCAUAAGGUGGCCGCCAUUUUGGCUUUUCAAAAAUAUACAGGUGCGUGAGAUAAAAAACCUUUAUGUACACAAUAAAAGGUAAAAUUCCUGGCUGUGAAAUGUUUGCGUGGGUGAUAAAUGUAUAUAUACAAGUGACUUUACUAAAAAGUGAUGGAAAACAGACUAUUAAAAUACUUUAAAAUUCUAAAAAUCUGUGAGCUGUGAAAAAACGUGCUGCUAUACAACAGGAA